UCUUCGUAGGUUGUAUGUGUCUAGGAGUUUGUCCAUGUCUUCUAGAUUUUCCAAUUUAUUAGCUUAUAGUUAGUCAUAGUUGCCACUAAUGAUCCUUCGAAUUUCUGCAGUAACAAUUUUCAUGUCUUCUUUUUCAUCUCUGACUUUAUUUAUUCGGAUUCUCCCUCUUUUUCUUAGUCUAGCUUACUAAACUAAAGGUUUGUUAAUUUUGUUUAAUUUUCAAAAAACCAACUGUUUGAUUUGUUGAUCUUUUGUAUUGUUUUCUUCAUUUUAAUUUUAUUUAUUUCUGCUCUGAUUUUUAUUAUUUUGUUGUUUGAAUAAUUUGACAAUUGCUGAAAGUUGAAUAUUUAAGUCCCCUAUUAUUUACUGUAUUAUAUUCUAUCUCUCCCUUCAGAUCUAUUAAUAUUUACUUUAUAUGUUUAGGUUCUCCUAUGUCAGAUGCAUAUAGAUUUACAAUUGUUAUAUCCUCUUGAUGAAUUGACCCCUUUAGCAUUAUAUAAUGACCUUCUUUUUUUUUUCCUUUUAAAGUUUCUUUUUCCUUUUCC
rnacentral:lncRNA from 1 species